CUGCGAUUAUUCCAUCCGUGUCUGCCGGUGCCCGGUGUGGCCACUGAGUCAACAGCCUUAAUCCCCUGGGAGCUACAGAUCUUCUUCUGGCCAUCUGCCUGGAAUACUAAUGAAAGAAUUAAGAGCUGGAGAUUUUGCAUGUGUUCCAUCAAAAAGAUCCUUAUCUGUGGGGAAUUGAGGCCUGAUUUGCAUGGAAGAAGACUUUGCUUUUAGUUCACUUAACAGCGGUGCUGUUAGAGAUACCUUGUAAGGACAAUGUCGAGGAUUUAGCAUUGUUUAUCUAAGGAAGAAAUGCAGUGCAGCCUGCUGCAGAACUAAGUGUCUCUCGCUGGUCCUCCUGGCACCCCAGACCCAGAGUGGUGGCUUUAUUCAUGGGGCCACUCAGCAUGUACAAGCCAUUUGCUCUGCGGCCUCCUUGCUUAGCCAGAAAGGUUCCCAGUAGCAGUCAACCUGAAGAUUUAAGAAGUGGGACUAACACAGUCACAAGGACGCUUUCUAGACUCACAGACACAGAGAAGGUCUCCUGCUUACCAGAUACUUAUCUAAAUUGCUUGAAGAUAAAAAAACUCGUUCCCGUCUCCAGGUGCUUAACCUUUAAGGAGCUCACUGACUGGCUCCAGAGGCCUCCAGAUAUCUCCUGAUACUGUCUUCAAAACUUUGCAUAUUUGUAUUUUUUAAGGAGGGUUGUUGCUGUUUCAUACAGUGAUUCUGUGUUCAUCUCAGCUUGUAUACCAAAGGAGUUAUCAAGAAGUGAAGUUGCCAAACCUUAGUGCGUGUGUAUGUGAUAUAUUUUAAUAAUCACUGCCCUAUUCCUCUCCAAACUAGCUGCAUUGAUAUAUGCCUCUGUCAACAAAAAAUAGAAAAAAGUAAACAUU